UGCAAGCGUUAUCCGGAUUUACUGGGUUUAAAGGGUGCGUAGGUGGUCCUGUAAGUCAGUGGUGAAAUCUUCAAGCUUAACUUGGAAACUGCCAUUGAUACUAUAGGUCUUGAAUUAUCUGGAGGUAAGCGGAAUAUGUCAUGUAGCGGUGAAAUGCUUAGAGAUGACAUAGAACACCCAUUGCGAAGGCAGCUUACUACGGAUUGAUUGACACUGAGGCACGAAAGCGUGGGGAUCAAACAGG
rnacentral:rRNA from 1 species